rnacentral:lncRNA from 1 species
AUGUGUAUAAAUUUGUUUACAUGAGAUAUUUAUUAUUGUCACAAGACUCACAUUAAUGCCUUUAAUUUUUUUAUUUGUUUUUUUGAAUAAAUUUUAUUUUACUUUUACAAUUAAUUUGAUUGAAAAUAAUAAAAAUUUGAUAUUAUUUUUAAUGUUGACGGAUCCUCGCAAAAAUUGUGGCGUUCCAAGAAAAUGAGGAUGAAAGAAAAUAAUCUUGCGAAUGGUAAAUGAUAAUUGAAAAUAUUUUAGAUGGCGGAAAAGGAAGUGAUAAAAUACUCUCAGUUUAAUAUCUUUGAUAUCACUAUUUGUAGGUCAAUCAUUUUAGAUUAUAAAAAGGAUCUAAUGUGAGAACAAAAUAUUAGUCAGAAAGUGGUUAAAGGAAAGAGCAAGACUUUCAUAUAUUGUCACAUGAUCAUUGAUGAAUCCUCAUCUUUACAUGUUAGUUUGAGCAAUUUAAGACAAAAUCUAGGAAAUAAUGUAAGAAACUUGAUCACAAAUAGUAGAAAGACAGAUGAUUUGAAGUGUUUCACAAGAAAGAAAGAUGUUUUGAUCAUGUAGCUGCGCAUGGCGCAGGAAGGCCUGUGCAUGGCGCAAUUCAGGCCAUUAGGGAGAUCAUUUUUAUGUGACCUACCCAUGGCGCAGGGGGUAGCUGUGCCUGGCGCAAUGCAAUUCGAAAGGAUGUUAAUAUUCUCUGUUGUCUGUGCAUAGCACAGAGGUCACUGCGCAUGGCGCAAUUCAAGCUUUGCAAAGACGAUUAUUCUCUGUUGACUGCGCAUGGCGCAUGUGAGGCUGCGCAUGGCACAACAGAGUUGCAGUAUUUAAGGAAAUUCAGUUUUCUGGUGCCAUGUUUGAAUAUUUUUAAGGAAGAACGCAUUUGAAGGCUUGGAUCUACUUUUCCUCAGCUAGAUUCGUCCAGAUUCACUCAAUUCUUAAUGGAUAUGGAUUUCUCUUCAUCUUUUCCAUUGGAUUUCUCAGCUGAUAUGUGGAACUAAGAUCCAUAUGAUUGGAAUUCAUAGGUGAAUUCGUUUCAUUCAUUAUGAUGUAAUUGUUUGUAUUUGAAUGAAUUGAAUCAAAUUUUCUCAACCAAGUGUUCCUUAUGCUUAUUGCUUUACAAUAUUUAUUGGCCAUUUAUGUGAUGAUCUUGAUGAUUGAUUUGCUAUGAGAGUAAAAAUUAAUUGUGGACUGGGAACUAUUGGACAAUUGUUGAAACUUUAGAGAUUUUGUGUUAUCAAUUGUGAUAUGCAGAAUUUAAGUGCUUAAAACCUCAAUUAAUCACAAUUCAAUUAGGGAUGUGUGAUCAAUUGAGAGAAUUGUGAUCCAAAAUAUUGGACUCAAUUAGUUUGUUAAUUUUAUCUUGAGAAGAAUUGGUCAAUUUACUUGUGUAUGAAUAUUACAUUGUUAUAAGUGAGUGAAGGAUCCG